ensembl:misc_RNA
UAGUGUUCACCAUGGCAAGCAGAUGGCACCAGGAGAUAUGGAGCCCCUGCCAGUGUGAGUCCGUAGCAGUGCAGGAGGGCUCACCCUGGAGGAGACAGCGGCCUCGGUUGACGCCUACACAGUGAAUUCCAGAGGCUUAGGAAGCGCGUCCCU